rnacentral:misc_RNA from 1 species
UAUCCCAUGCUGGAUUUCCUGCAACAGCG